GUGCUCACUUUGGCAGCACAUAUACUAAAAUUGGAAUGAAACAGAGAAGAUUAGCGUGGCCUCUGUGCAAGGAUAACAAGCAAAUUAAAGCAAAGUUUAAAAAGUGG